UUGUGUAUUCUGAUGUCUUUUAUGUCAUUCUUUUCGCUCCCGAAAGCUGCCCGGCCGGGAAUGUAACCUAAGCCUUACCCGAUCGGACGAGCAAGAUUUUUCGAUGUGAGAUUUUGAUAUACUUGUACUUGUUAUAUUUCUAUAAUCAUGGUAUCAAGCAACACAGAAAAUUGAGCCAACAGUAAAAGAAUUCCAUUAAUGGUAGUGAAAAUACAAAGAAUAUUUUUUUGUUUUCAAAUUACGGGCAAAUGAAACGUUAUGUUUAUGUACUAACCCUGGUGUUACAAACACAGUUCAUUGACUCUUCAUUCGUGGGAGGGAAUUUUGAGAUGUACACAGGUCGACAAAGUUCGUGUUGGGUCAACUGCACUGAGGUCAGAGUACAGUACAGUAGCUGCCCUGCCUCAAAACAUUUCCGUUCUAACAAUAUCGGUACUAACGUUAAUCUUACAGUAUUUGUUUGUCUUUCGGUAAGCGAUCUCUAUCUCAGCUCAUUUUGAAGAUAAUAGGGUGCUUCCCAACAAACGUGUCACUUGACACCGCACUGCAUAUGGUUCUUGUUUGCACGAAAUACCUCCUUUAUUUCUUCCCUGGGAAAAUCCACUUUAACGUCGACAAAAUGAUAUCAUGUCUAAGAUAUUUUAAGUCGAAACAGACGAAAUCGAAUAAAAGACAACGACUCGCUUUGGGGUACGAUAUGUUACGCAAUACGUUAUUCAUAUUCCUAUGCCUAUAAAAAUACUACAGAUUUUAAGAUACUCGAUACCAGAAGUAGAUUUGACUAUAUCUUUACUUUAGAUCCGACAGCCCUCAUAACGCUAAGAUAGGUAAAUACAUAAAAGAUUGCUUUGUGAUUAGAAAAGAUCGUGACACUCAUGUUUAGCCCCAACUGAUUGUAUGGAGGUUUUCUUAUUGUAUGAAGGUUUUCUUAUUAUCCUAUAUUUUUAUUUAGAAUAGUUUUGAGAUUUAUUCUGUAUCCACCCUUUUUGUGAUUUAUAUUUGAUCAUACAAAAGUCACUGUACUUUUUAUCGUGUGACAGGUAAAUACAUAAAAGAAUGCUUUGUGAUUAGAACAGAUAGUGACACUCAUGUUUUAUAGCCCCACCUGAUUGCAUGGAGAUUUUCUUGUUAUCCCAUACUUUUAUUUAGUAGAGUUUUAAGAUUUAUUCUGUAUCAGCCUUUUUUGUAGCUAAUAUCUGACCAUACAAAAGUCACUACCUUUGUUUGUGUCAAUAAAGCUCGCGUCUAUAACAUAUCGGGGAACACCUGGCGGUUGGUGUGCGUGGUCUAUAUCAGAUUUAGGAAGGAAACGUUAAACUCCCUGGCUGAGCAGCUAAGUAGUCCAAGAACACCAUUUACCAUACAUUCUAUUUACAUCGUAAAACCCUACACCGGUACUGCCGUGUCUCACAUGAGAGCUUGUUCAUAUUACAGCCCUGGCGUCUGCAACAAGAUGACAGCUAUGCCUAUGGCGUUCCAGGAAGUCGCUACAGCUAUCCUCAUAUUUUAGACAGUUACCAACGACGUUUCCUCCAGUUUUUGGCAAAAUUGCGAAGGAAAUGAGAAGAAAAUGUAUUUGCUGAUAGAGGUAAACCCACGACAAAAUACUUCUUUCCAUUGUUACAAUAACGUCAAUAUUUCGUACGGUUAUUAGUCCUUUUUACCCCCGCGAAUACGUUAUAUUACCCCAACAAAGCAACCAGCCCCGUUCAUUUUGUACUGAUACAUGUCAAAGGACCACGGUCUUCCUGGCAGCUCGUUCCUCAAAGAUAUGGGCGAUGUCACCGGGCGAUGUAGCCCUUUGAGAGAAGAUUACACCACUUGCUGGUGUAUUUUCGAGUGAAUAUCAAAGAGACAAAAGAAGAGGGCCACGGUAAGGACCUAAAGCACUCAUUUCUUAUUCUGGUCUCGUGUAGCCACUUACAGCGAGCUGUCGACCUGGCGCAACGACGGUUUGGAGUGCGUCAUCGGCUGGGAAACUCAUUUGUAUCCUUUAGAAGGAGCGCGGUUUUGAGGGGUCUGCCUAGGUUUACACAAUAGCAAACCCAUCCUCACCUAUACUCUGUGUGGCUAACAUUCGGCCCCGUGUCUGUACAGACCCACACGACCUGACCUGGUCUACAUAACCGUGAAUAUCCUUCACCAUUGGUAGCGCGGCAGUCGUUUUCAAACACCGUAAUCCCCGAACCUCAUUUAUAGCUAAUUACAAUAUACUGGCACACCAUUGUAACCCACGGUAGGCGCAGCCGGGAUUCAGACCAUAUUGAUUUUAUUACAAAAAUAUAAUUCUAUGCACAUAGUUUUCACAUCUGCGGGAUAUUAGAAUAAAUCUAGGUUGCACCAUCAAUGGAGCAUACAUUUUGCAUACUCGACUCAUGGCGCCAACGCCGAUCAUGAAACUGCUUUGAGUCUAUAUCAAAUGAACACGAUGUGUGAAAGUCACUCAAUAAAUGCUCACAAUCACAAUCCAUCAUUCAUGGGAAAAUUUCAACACCGAAAAUUAGAACACGCUUUCCCCCACAAUUUUACAUGUCAGGACAUUGUAUGCAUAUAUGCGUAAUUGACUCACGAUGAUCUAGAAAUGCUGGCGCAUAGAGAAGGUAUAGAAAUGUGUUAAGGGCGGCCAUGGCGGUGUGGACACACGUAAUGUAGAAUGUUAUGGUACAGACGUUGUCGGUUUGGUUGCAUAGCUGGAGAGAGGAAGAGGAAUGAUGGCUUGAUAGGGGAGGUUGCGGUUGUAGCCGCCGACCUCUGAGUAUCGGAUACAAGACUGUGUGCUCAUAAUUAUUUCAUAACUCGUUCGCCGCACGGUUCCUUCUUUACCGUUCAAUUUAAGGAUACUCUUACGGCGGCAUGUGCAUAUCAGAGCCACGCACACGGCGUUAGUCUUAAAACAGCGAAAGUCGCUAGUUAUUCUACAGCUACUGGAUCAUACUGUGACGUGUUGGGGCACAGCGGAGGCUUGCGAGCUGCCCUAUCAGGGAGCCGCCACUGUGCCUCGGGCAGUAUUCCACCAUAAAUCACAGCUGAUGAUGAUUAUCGAUAACACCCGCGGUCGCAUACACAAACAGCAAACCACGGUCGUUUACGUUCAGCUCCUCUUCUUGCAUAGACCAUGAACUGGAUGAUCGUGUGCAUAGAUAAAGGGGGCCUGACCCCUGUGUGGCAGGCUAUAGCACCAAGACGAAGUACAAAUCUCAUUGACGUCUUUAUUUUACUAAAAAUAGAGAGCAGUAAUAUCUAUUUCUUGUUGAGAGUGUUUCGAUUUAUAGUUAGGUGGUGGAUGACACACAUUAUUUAAGUUACAAUUUGGCUGUCGUCAUUUUUGGAGUCUAGCAGGAAAAGCAAGAUGGUGGCCGGUCCGAGUGUAGCCCAGAUGGCCCGGGAACUAAACUUCCAUGCGAGGCCAGCAGUGGUCAGAAUUCCAGGCGCUUUUCCAUGGUCCUGAGAAUCACAAUUGCGGCAUGUUACAAUACCAGAACGAAUUAGCCGUAGAAAGGGGCUUGAAAGGGGCCGGUUCAACGACACAGAAAAGAUUAGAAACGGACACUCCCUCCAAACACAAGAGUUGGGGAUGAACCAUUCUCCUGUCCAACAAAAUCGUGUUUGAGUAAGGUUGUCUUGUUAAAAACAAAGAUAGAAAUCAUUUGGGAUGGGAAAGAAACAGUUACGAUUCGGCUACAACGCUUGAUAACGAGCUAUGAAACUGUUUGUCGACCGUUUCGAUCAAAAUCUCCUUGUUUCGAUCCACUACUUCAAGCACAACUGGCCCAUCCCCGAAAUUCCACUCGAUGGGGACUAUAGGGUUACCAAAAUAUUCUUAACCUACAUCCACUUCUCGAAGACUUAGCAACGAAAUUCGCAUGUGUUACGAUGUGGUGACCACGAUUUCGGUACCAACGUUUCGUAGCUAGUGUUAAUUCUUAUAAAAACAAAUAAAUUCUUGGUGUGUCCAGUUUGCAUAUCGGAUACAGGGCGCACAUGGUCACAGUAACCGUGUAUGCAUUGCCCGGGGCGACCAUCGCCGUGGGUUUGAUAGAAGAAUGAUAACAACUGGAGCCUGGCAGGAAGCUAUACUGAUGCCACAAAGAACUGGGAUGACAAACCUCUCUGCGAACAAUGCAGGGCUAUAUUCGGGGGGACUAAAGGGAACACGAAAGCAUUACGAGAUUCCAAAUAUCGCGUUUCAUGAUCUGGCAGAGUCUACGGGAUUUGUUGUGGCUGGAGAUCAGGCGUUAGACACUGUUGUCAACCUUAUUUCCGUGGUUGUUUACGGUAUCGAAAAAUCGAGCUGACGACGCGCUGGCUCUCUCCAGCAUAGAUACUUAUCUCCACGGUGUGUGGGAAUUUCUGAUGGAAAACCGUCUGCGGGGCCAUCUUAAUUAGGUUGGGGAUGUUUUUAACACCCCGUGGAUAGGUUUGUAGCUCAAGAUUUCUUUCCCCUCUGGCUGAGAAGUGACAUAUUUUACGGCAUUGACAGCAGCACGUCCUACUCCUAGCAGCAACGAGGGUAGCAUUCUUCAAACGUCAUAUAUUUAUGGAUGACGAGGGUUGAGAUAAGCCUUUAUCCCGUGGAGGAUACGUUUUAUAGGUGCCAUUAUAAAGCCAACCUCGUUUACCGGGUUUGGUUUCUAAGUUUGAGUACGGUAUGAUAUAAAUCCGUGCUUAUGUUGUGGCUUGUUUUCGAAAUAUCACGCCCUGCGUGGACUAUUUUUCUGAUACCUACAGAUUUUGGAGGCAUAUGUUUUGUGAUGGGUGGGCGUGAAAACCGUUCGAGUCAGAGUAAAAGACGUGACUUUUACAUGUAAGUAACGCCUAACCCGACCACAGGCGAGCGGUGAAGCCUUGGCAAAUCACAGUAACUCAUCCCGGUAAGCGAGGUUAUCCUAAAGCGGAGGGGGCGACCUUUCCCCAUCUCCUGUCUGGACUGCGAAUAACCUCCACACAGCUGGGUCCUAUUUAGCUUGUCAGAAGUGCCAGAGACGCGGGUCCCUGCAACCCUUGGCUUGGCUUGCUUUUUCGCUGACCUGCUGGGGAAUUUGUGUUCGUUCAGUUGGGGGGGAAACAUGGGGACAGGAACCCACUUCCCACCUUCUUCAUAUGGAGCGGCUGAUCUUCGCAACACGGAAGGAAACACAUCUGUAAUUUGCUGGGAACGGAACUAAUUGGAUGUUUUGAGGGGGAAAUUCCGUGUCCUACCGUUGAAAAUGGGCUAGGGGAGAUGGGGUGGCCGCGGAAAGAUAUAACUGACGGUCGUCAUCUGUGCACCAAAAAUAUCGGGGCCGCUGUCCGGCCUCAUUCAAUCAUUGGGAACCCGUGUUUUGACGGAAUAUUAUAAAUCUCUUCUGCAGCUGUUUUUCAAUCCAAAUUUUGUAAUAAAUAUAGUCACCCCCUCUCAUUUUAGUCCAUCAAUCUAUGUGAAUUGGACACUGCUCAUAUUGUGGGGGCCGUGCAUUGUCAUAACGGACCGUAACGGAUUGUCAGAAAGCGCCUCGGGCCCGGCUCAGGUGGGAGAACAGCACGGUGUACGGUGAUGAAUAAUAUGGGCCCCAGGCGAUUACUAAUGUCUCAUAAUGCCGACCAGAAAGUAUUGUCAUUUGCUGUCGAAAGCCCGCCUCUUAAUAAGCAUUCAGGGGUGGAAAUUGGGUGGUGUGGCUUGAAAAGAAGCAGCUCAAAUGAAGGACAGUAAUGAAACACAAAAGUGAAUUGUGUGAGGUGAUUAAACUGUAAUUAGGAGGUGUAUUAAAGGGGGUGUGAGGUAGCUCAUUUGCAUGAAAAUAAUCUGUUAGGAGAAAAAAAAGUAGACAUAACUUCCACCCAAGCAAAGUAAUCAUCAACAGAAGAGAGAGAGAGAGAGACAGGCGGAUACUGGUGUGAUGGCAUUGUGCAGGAGUCCUGACCUGCAUUGGCCACCUGAGUAGCACCAUGCAAAGGUCAGGUCUGGAAUCUCCUGGCCAGGAUCAGUCUGUCUUGAACAGACUGGGUCAAAGUGAGAGAUAGAAUAUCAGCUAGGUUCAAGCUGAUGAUGAAAAGAGGUGCUGCUGCGGAUAUGGUGCUUAUGAGAAGUAAUUAUAGCGCAGGCAAACUUGCAGGGAGGGGGGAUGUUGAAGGUAAGUUUUAGGUAACACAAGUAUUAUAGAGAAAAUCUAGCAUGUUGGCAGCCACAACUGUCUUCAGUCAGUCACCCACCCAAUCCCUUUGUUAUUUGCUCACAUCCUAAAUUGUCUGAUUUGCUGGACUUGUUUAUAUUACACGGAGGAAGCCAUCCUACUUUUUUAUGGAUGGCAAAGAAGGCCACUUGCUCGGAGGGAUGAGGCUCAUGCUUGUGAUGCUGUCCAUGAUUAGUCCUUGGGUUGACGACUUCCCAACAACAACCAGCAUGCUACAGCUAGAAGCAAUGCCAUUGGGUGACGGCAGCACUGGUGUGGAAUGUUACUGUACCAGUACAAUGGCAAUGGCUGCUGAGGUAUGGACAUGAUUAGGUAUUAAAACAUGCCUAGAACAAUGCCAACAAAUGCCAUGUGCAGUCAUGAGAAUGAAAAAAUGACACAGACACAAUUUGUGAGAUGGUGACUAUGGUUUAUGUAUGAGGAUGGUGUGAAAUGACAAUGCUUGUUAACAUCAUGUGUAUGGUACACUAGUUGUGGUAGCUACAGCAAUACACAACAACCCACCUUCCACUGUGACAUGGACUUGGUUUUACACAAUAUUGCACAAUCCUGCAUCUACCACUGCAAGCACUACUAUCUACAUAUAUCUAAUAAUUAUACAAGUAGCAAACUACAAUCGAGCAAUUCAUACAAUAUCUAUAUAUGUGUAAAUACAAUGCGGAGUAAAAACAAAAUAACAAAAGUAAAAGUUGAAUCCUUCAAUGUUGUACUUCAAAAUAAUUUUAAUAUGACUUUCUCUUUACAAUCAUAGCAAAUCAUUUAAAAUUCAGCUUUUGUAUCAAAGAGAAAUACAAA